rnacentral:sRNA from 1 species
UUCUAGCCCGGAUCGGAGCGGCAUCCUUUUUUGUUAUUGCGAUUGCGGCCUUUUUCGAUAGGUUGCGUGUUUUCGUUCGCAAUGACAAAAAAGAUAGAGCGGAGAGCCGGAAUCAGC